rnacentral:rRNA from 1 species
GACGAACGCUGGCGGCGUGCUUAACACAUGCAAGUCGAACGGGCCUGUCUUCUUUUUUGGGGGUGGGUUGAGUGGCGAACGGGUGAGUAUCACGUGAGUAACCUGCCCUUCGGUCCUGGAUAACCGCUUGAAAGGGCGGCUAAUACGGGGUGGUCCGGUUGGUCCGCAUGGGCUGGUCGGGAUAGAUUCACUGUUUUUGGUGUUUCGGCGGGGGAUGGGCUCGCGGCCUAUCAGCUUGUUGGUGGGGUGAUGGCCUACCAAGGCGGUGACGGGUAGCCGGCCUGAGAGGGUGGGCGGCCAAACUGGGACUGAGAUACGGCCCAGACUCCUGCGGGAGGCAGCAGUGGGGGGUAUUGCACAAUGGGCGGAAGCCUGAUGCAGCGACGUCGCGUGAGGGAUGGAGGCCUUCGGGUUGUGAACCUCUGUUUCCGGUGGUGAAGGCCCUGUCCGUGUGGUGGGGUUGGCGGUAGCCGGGGAUGAAGCGCCGGCUAACUACGUG